GCCCCUUCUAGGUCCCUGCAGGGAUGGCUCAUCCCCAAGUAGUUGCCCCAAGAGAGGUGGCCAGAAAGGGGUAGAGCCCCCCAAAACCCAUCCCAAACUCCCCUAGUUAGACAGAGGAGAAGGUUAAUGGUGCCACAGGCACUUUUCUGUCUGCUGAUGGGAAGGGGCAGUGCGGUGGGAGCCUCAAGCUAGUGCAGGAGGAAGCCUCAAAGGUUAACCUAAAGGUUGGUGGGUAGAGCCUACCCAGGGACCAAGCCUACUUAAGAUCCAUCCAGAUCCUGCCAACUGCUUUCGUGUGUCCUGCAGCCCUCACUUGCUCCCAGAAUCUCCAGAGAGCUGGUCCCCCCAUCUUGCUUGCUGCCCCCUGGUCUCCUUGUGCCACCUGGAGGUUUCCUCCCUUAAGUCAUCUGCCACCUUGUGGAGUCCAGAGGAACUGCCAGCGGCAGAGGUGGAAGGCACUGGCCCUGAUCCUGGACUCCAGCUGUGCCAUCAGAGGAAGACAAACCGUGACUAUGCAGUGUGGUCUGCAGAAACAUUGCAGUGUAUCCCAGUGGGAAUGUUCGCCCCACAGGUGGGGCUGGAGCUGUGGCCAUAUUAGUUGGGCCCAAGGCCCCUCUGGCCCUAGAGAGAGAUCCUACAGAUGGUGGUGCCUGGGAAAUCUACACUAGCAGAGUUUCUGCCCAUGGAUCAUGUUUUUAAAAGCAAACUCUUAGAUGGAAACGGAUUGGAUUGGACACCGUUGUCCCCAGAAGCAGCGGCCCUGGAGAGUGAGGGGCCAUCCUUAGUGGUCCUUCCUGCCUUUCUCUGCUGCAGUCACCGUCCUGGGCUAGUGGUGGGGCAGGGGUCCUCUGUGGAAGAGGGAGUGAGGAAGAGGGGAAGGCCUAGCCGAGAAUCACCACCCUCCAGACCUGGGAUACAAAUCCAGAUAACUGCCUAUCGUGUUCCCUCGUGGCCAUUAGCCUUAUUAGAUUUCUGUGCUGUUACAUCUUUAUUCCUUUCUUAAGUUUUCUAUCAAUUUCCAAAUGUUGCAGCUGGUACUAAACCCAUAAAACACACUGCAAAAGUGAGGAGGAAAUCAGUCUUGUAUUUCUUGGAAACUAGAGCACAGACGUGCCCCAGCUGACAUGCCCCAGCUGACAUGCAGAGGAGCCUCCUGGACCUCCUGGCUCUGAGGGCCCCACUCUCUGGAGCCCCACCGACCCCCACAGCUGUAAAACUGUUGAGCACUCACCUCACACACACCUGCCUUAAUGCAAUUCCAUUCUCCUAGGAACAGGGGAAACUGUGGGGACACACGGCCUCUGCACCCGGCUUCCUUCACUGAUGUAAAGAUGCCAUCAUGCAGUUUGGGCCGGAAAUGACCUCAAGGGCAGCCGUAGCUCCUUGCUCAGAAUUUGCCAGUGUUAUCUGGGCAAAUAAACACAGGGCCGAGGUUAGUACAGCAUGCUUUCUGACUCCUCCAGCCAAAAAAGAGACUUCAGUUACCUAGCAGGGAA